rnacentral:rRNA from 1 species
CCUACGGGAGGCAGCAGUAGGGAAUUUUCGUCAAUGGGCGCAAGCCUGAACGAGCAAUGCCGCGUGAACGAGGAAGGUCUUCGGAUCGUAAAGUUCUGUUGAAGGGGAAAAAGAGCGGAGAGAGGAAAUGCUUUCUGAUUGAUAUUACCCUUCGAGGAAGUCACGGCUAACUACGUGCCAGCAGCCGCGGUAAUACGUAGGUGGCGAGCGUUAUCCGGAAUGAUGGGGCGUAAAGGGUGCGUAGGCGGCCUGCUAAGUCUGGAGUGAAAGGUACCGGCUCAACCGGUACAGGCUCUGGAAACUGGCGGGCUAGAGAGCAGGAGAGGGAGGUGGAAUUCCAUGUGUAGCGGUAAAAUGCGUAGAUAUAUGGAAGAACACCAGUGGCGAAGGCGGCCGCCUGGCCUGUUACUGACGCUGAGGCACGAAAGCGUGGGGAGCAAAUAGGAUUAGAUACCCCAGUAGUC